AAACAAAAAACAAAAAGUACAUCCUUUCACAAGAAAGAAACCCAUCAACAACCCCUUCUUAGAAACUGAUUUCCUGUCGUACCUCAUACUACUCUACUAAAUACCAGGUACACAAUAGUACACAUACUAUUUUGUGACAUACUAUUUAGCACACUAGUAGGCUUUAACUGCGCAUGCGCAUUGCGUGUCCCCGCGCUAAAUCGAUGCUGAUUGGCGGCUCAGCGUGUCCGCAGUCUGUCUCCGCCCACACAGCCUUGCGCGAUUAUGUACCCUGUUUUGGGAAUUUUAUUUAUGGCACGCGCGCUCUCGACGUGCUCCCUGGCUCUAUAACGCUGUCACCGACUACAAUGUCAAACCUUUUAGGAGUCUCGCGAGCUUCCGUUUUCACCCCAAGGACAGAAGAUCCGUCGUGAUUUAUUUGUUUAUUUAUUCGGUUUUUUUUUUGGUUUUUUUUGGUUUUUACCCGAACUGACUCGACCUGAAGUGAUAUUUGUGCGUUAAAGUGAUGAUGACUUCACAAUAAACCAAGCUAAGGUCUAUGUUAGAGCGACGAAGACAGAAAUGGAGGUGACAAGGCGAAGAGACUCCAGUGGCCAGUUCUCUGACAACUCGGACCAUGACUGUGAGGUACAGAGGAAAGCAGCACGAAGUGUAACGAAUGUGGAAAAAACAGGGCAAUAAUGGCCAGAUACUCAGAGGGCUAUGGCACUGAGGAGGAGUGCGUCCAGUCCGAUCCUCAGCGAGAGAGCGAUGCAGAUGCAGACAUAGAGGAUGCAGACACUAGACUACAGGUCGUGGGCUCUCUCCAGCGAAUCAGCUCUCGGAAGCGAAGGCGUCAGCGAGUAACCCGGCAAGACACCACGGAGAGCGAGGAUGAUGGGGGGCAAAGCCACAGGAACCACCGCUGGAGUCUGAGAUUGAGUCCCCAUCGCUCACCUAAUAGAACCAUACUAGAGGAAAGUGUUUCUCAGGUCAGGCCACUGGUGAUUUGUCACUGUAAUCCAGCAGAUACCCCGGCUGCUUCAGCCAACCAACCCGAAAAAGGAAAAUGGUCGAUGAACAUAUGGCCUUUCUCUCUCUCUUUACCUCUUUUCUUCUUCCUCUUUCUUCUCCCCCUCUUCAUUUCCAUCAUAAUUGUGUUCUUUUCAUUCCUAUACCCACUUACUAAUACCUGACACCCCCUGCAACAGAUACCUCAAGGAAUCAUGUUUUUGUUGAUAUGUGUACUAUGAGAAGCACAAAAUUGGCCUUGAAAUGAAAGUGUAAUGUCUGAUACAUGUUAGCUAGAGGAUAUUAGUCGCAUUAAUUAUUUGAAUCCUUAUGGAAGAGUUUAAAAUGUCUGCAAUUUUAGUAAAUCCUUGAAAAUCACGAAUAGGUUUCUUUGUCAGACAGAAUGCUGUAAUUCAAUCCUUAUUCCUUUCUGUUAUCUUGACUUAAUUGUCAGUGUUUAAUCACCCACAAUAAUCCAUCGUAUUGCAUUUAUUAAUAGUUUUUUUUUUUUUUUAAAAGAAGCAAAAACCUUAAUCAAAUGAUUAAUUUGCUAUUUAUUACAACUUCUUCUUAAGUGUCACCAUGAUCGUUUUGAGCUCAGAUGUUAUUUCUUACUCCACCAGUGUGUGUCUGUGUAUGUAACGAUGCGUGCGUAGAAAGAUUGAAAACGGAAACGAAUUACUAUGCAAUGUACAGACAAGUCUUUUAGGAUUUGUUUAUGAUAGAAAAUACACUUUUUUUUUAUUUUGUGAAUGCAUGGCUGAAGUGAUAUUAAGCAAACCUCAACUGAUGCAUCAAAUCUAUGAUAAGUGGCAGAGCUUAUUACUUAGUUCGAUUAAGUUUCACAUCAGUGUUAGCAUUAAAGAUUUAAGUGCUAGUUAUGUUUAAGUGAGAAGUAUAUUUAAUGUCAUUUUCUUUUCCUCUACACUGUUUUUUUUUUAAAGUUACAUCUUAAUAACAGCCCUGAUGCGAUUGCUCUGGAAUUCUUAUUCAGUAUUAUGUUUAAUGCUAUUAAUUUUGUGCUUUUAUAGCUCCACCAGCUCCAGCACAUUUCUGUCCUUGUCACAGUCUCAUGCUUUUCCUCUUAAGCUUUAAAAUGAAAAUGAGGUGUAUGUCUGUGAACAUUUUGGGUCCAUUUGAACAUAAAUAAAAAAAAAAAAUGGUUUGAAAACAGAUGGCUUAUUGUGUUACAUGAAAAGAUCUCAGCACUCAAAGUAUUUUCACUUUCAUUUAAAAGUAGAAGAAAAUAUUCGUGUUACAUAUUUCCUUUUUAAUUUUUACGAAGGUUUUUGUUGAACACAACAUUUUAGCAUGUGAAGAGAUGCGUUUUCUAGCAUAGCAAAUGUCUAAGUGCCACUUACCUAACAAUGCUGUGACAUAGUCAUCAUGACCCUGGACAAAUUCUGGAUGAGGUGGAAACAAUUUGACGCAGACACUCUGGGAUUGAAGUAGAAUGCCAGCCCUAUCAGCUGAUGAAAAUGAUUGUAAAAACAGCAUUUAAGGGAAGAGGAGUUUGUGCUGCUCUAUAUGGAGUGCUAUGUUCCCUUUCAUGAAGCUAAUUUCCAUAAUAACCAUCUGCUGAUAAAGGAUUGCUCAUCUUUUGAGAUUUUCAGUAUCAUGUUACAAAGUAUGACUAAAACAUAUCUACUUAAGUUGAGAGGUUUGUGAGAAUAACUGCUAUGAAAUGUGACAAUUCACAUGAAAAUUGGUAUAUGAAUGCAAUACAAAUAUGUGAAAAUAUUUCAGUAGUAGAUUACCAUCUACUAUUAACCUAUCUAAAGGUAGACUUCAAUCUGCCUUUCUGUGUACCUUUCUAUGUAGCUUUGUUUGGCUACCCUGUAAAACUACCUAACUACAUUUUUUGUUGAUAGCAUUUAAUAAUAGUGAUGGCAUAUUUGGGCAUAAUCUCUAAUUUUGGCUAGUUCAAUUCAUAAACAUCUGUAAUGUUGGUGAAAUACUGAAUUAAGAUAACAAUUUGUAUUGCAAAAUAAUUCAAUUUAGAUUUUUUCGGUCUGGGGGGAUGGGAGGAGAAAAAGAGAGAGAGAGGGGGACGAGAGAGAGAACAAAUUAUUAGGUAUGCUCUUGUCCUGUAAUGGUUAAAGACCAUGUACAUUGUGUGCAGAGUGUAAGCAGGGACUCCAGCAAGAUUCGCUAUGACAGCAUACCUAAAAGGGGGAACCAGAACGUAACAGACAUGCAGGGCUGGUUCUUGACAUUUGGAGGCCCUGAGCACAAUUUAUGUUGGAGGCCUCCUACACCUCUCCUCCCCUCCUCCUUUCAGAAUAAAUAAAAAGCACUUUAAACAAAUUUGAUUCUUAACCAAAUGAUUCUUAACCUUUUUAUUUAUACAACAUCUGUAU
ensembl:lncRNA